UGCNCAAUGGGGGAAACCCUGAUGCAGCGAUNCCGCGUGAGUGAAGACGGCCUUCGGGUUGUAAAGCUCUGUCGCAGAGGACGAAAAUGACGGUACUCUGUAAGAAAGCUCCGGCUAACUACGUGCCAGCAGCCGCGGUAAUACGUAGGGAGCAAGCGUUGUCCGGAAUUACUGGGUGUAAAGGGAGCGUAGGCGGGAGGAUAAGUUGAAUGUGAAAUCUAUGGGCUCAACCUAUAGCUGCGUUCAAAACUGUUCUUCUUGAGUGAAGUAGAGGCAGGCGGAAUUUCUAGUGUAGCGGUGAAAUGCGUAGAUAUUAGGAGGAACACCAGUGGCGAAGGCGGCCUGCUGGGCUUUUACUGACGCUGAGGCUCGAAAGCGUGGGUAGCAAACAGG
rnacentral:rRNA from 1 species